CUUCUUCGAGACUCUUCCGAAGCUCUCCUCCUUCUCUCUACUUUCUCUCUCUAAAUUCUUAUGGUUUCUUGCAUGUUUACACACACAGUAGAAGAACAGAUUAGAGCUAAAUCGAAAACAAAUGCUCCAAAAUUUAGGGCACAAGUCCAAAGAAGAGGGGAAAUUGAAAGCUAUUUCCGAUUUUUUUUUAGUUGCUGCAUAUUUUUGGAGUUCUCAGUUGUUUCGCCGUGGACUCCUGCCAUUGUUGUUGCUGUCUUGUUGAGCUUCAGUUGGCUCUUCGUCCAACCUUUACUUGGCUUUUGGGAUCUUUUGUUUAUGAUCGAGUGGUUGAAGAAGACCAGAAGGACAACUUUUUUUGCUUCUAUCGAGAAGAUUAAGGAAGGUUAGCAAUUGCUGCUUCUUUAACUUUUAGGAAUAACUUUGUAAUAUACAUUGCGAUGAUUCUUUGGAUUUUGACUUAUUUUCUUGACCUCUAGUAAGACUAAGAAAACGUACUAGUACAAUUCCAUGAUUUUUCUAAUUUUAUUGAUAAUCGGAAUGAAUGGGCCCAAAUAGAACAAAAUGGACAUAAAAAUACCCUACUAUGCUUAGCACUUGCAUUUUGCUGGUAAUUACUCUACUUAGAAAUGCACAAACAAAUCAUUGUUUUCAACUGCAUAUGAUGCUCAAUUAUGAUACUUCUCUUCUCAAGAUCUUUAUGAUCUUGAGAAGAUUUUCUUCGGUGUUUAGUUUGUUGUGUUUAGUGAUAGGUUACAAUUAACUAUAAUGUUUAUUACAUAAGUAUUUGGCUCAUUGUUCUAAUUAUAAGAGAUGAGUGUUGUAAUUAAAUUUGAACAUCCCUGAUGACUCUUUAUUUAGCAAAUAGAUAUGUCUUUAAUUUGCCAAUUCCAAUUUUCUCAACUUUUUUAGUAUUUGUUAUAGACUAGAUCUUUAGUGUCACGAUCCUAAACCAAACGUGAUGACGUCUCUCAUGAAGAUAAGGCCAACCGAUUAAACUCAAUUCACUUUUUAAAACAGUUAAACAACAUAAAAGCAGUCUAGAACAUGAUUUAAUAAUACUAAGUAGUGAAUAAUAUCAAUAAAAUGCGGAAGUACAACCCGACACAUCCCUAACCGGGGUGUCACAAGUCACGAGCAUCUAACAAUACUGAAUCCUCAAAUGUCACUACAUAGUUUAAAUACUGAACUAAGUACAUAAAAGAAAAAGAGAUAGGGAGGAGCUCCGAGAUACGAACGCCAACAGCUACCUAAAGACUCCUCGAGAUCCGCCUGAAGCUGGAAUGAGUCAGCACUCGGGAGCGGGACCAGCUAAGCCUGAAUCUACACACAGGGUGCAGGGAGUAAAGUUAGUACUCAAACUCAGUGAGUAACAAAUGUAAAUAUAAUGACUGAAACUAAGAAAACAAGUGAGGCACAAAGCAUUCUAUAAUGAAGCAGUAAAAUCAUUUAAAAACGGUAAACUAGUAAAAAGUCAAGUAAAAUCCUCUUUCAACAAGUAAACAAGUAAUUGACAGGCAGAUAAGGUAAAGUAAACAAAUAGAAGUUCGCUCCUCAAGCACAGUGUCAACAAAUCUGCCCUUCAGGCAAUAUCUCAGAACUAUACCAGCCCCGGGGGCUCAAUCUCAUAUCACAAUGGGUACCUGCACUCACUGGGGUGUGCAAACUCAUGGAGGGCCCCCUUACGACCCAAGCGCAAUAACAAGUCAUCCCAUGGCAUCAAAACUAGGCCCUCGACUUCAUAUAAAUCAAGUCACCUCGUGGCGUACAUAUCUCAGGCCCUCGGUCUCAAAUUAGUAUCUGUGUUUGCUCACAACAUAGGCCCUAAACCUUACUCAGUCAAAAAUCAUCACAAACCUCUCGGGCAAUAGUAAAACAGUGUUUCUCAGCCCAAACAUCAUUUAAAUAUCAUUUAAGUCUUAAAACAGAGUAAACAUGGCUAAGUAGUAAAACAAUGGAAAAUAACAUGACUGAGUUCAAGUAUAAAGUCAAAACAGUAAGGAAAUAUCAAUAAAAAGCCCUGAAAGGUUCAAAUAGUUGGCACUAGGCCCAAAUAUGGCAUUCAGCCCAAAUAAUGAUGAUAGCAAAUAGUUUUCAGUCAAAUACGAGGUAAAAUCAUCAAUCGGGACGGACUAAGUCACACUGCCCAAUUGUUACGACCCCAACCCGGUCAUGAUAACGCCCAACACACUACUAGACAAGCCCGACCAUUCAACAACAUUACCCCAUUUCUAACACAUAUUAUACGUAAAUAACACAGGGAAUUUACUAAGUCAUUAUAUUAAAAGUCUAGAAAUAACGAUAAAAUAUGCGAAAGUUCAAUUAAAAUACUGCAACAUAGCCCAAUAGAAUCUGGUGUCACGAGUUUGAGCCUCUAAGAAAGAAUAUCCAUCUACUACAAGUCUGUCUAGGAAAUAUGAAAUUAAAGAUAGAGAUAGAGGGGAGAGAUCAAGGCUGCAAAUGCCAAGCAACUACCUCGAUACUCCCGGAUACUGCUGCCCAACUAAUCAAAUCCUCAGUCAGCCUGUGAUGUACCUGGAUCUGCACGCAAGGUGCAGAUAAUAAUGGGAGUACUCCGACCCAGUGAGUAAUAAAUAUACAUAAUGGCUGAGAAUAAGAAAUCAUGGAAAAAUACAAAGUAGUCUAUAAUUGGCAGUCUAGAACAAUUAACAAGGAAACAAUAAACCAAUGAGAUAGAAGAAUAGAAAUACUAUGACAGGUAAAACAGAUAAAAAACAAAUGAAUAAGGAAAAUGCAACACAUAGAACGAUACACUCUAUUACCCAUUGCGGCGUGCAGCCCAAUCCAUUUAUUUAUUGUUGACGACGCUUAGUGGGGGUGUACAGACUCCGGGAGGGGCUCCUACAGCCCAAGCGCAAUAUCAAGCCAUCUCAUGGAAUCAACUAGGCUGUAGGUAUCAAUAUCAAUAUAAUACUGCUGUGGCGUGCAACGCGAUCCCAUACUCAAUCCAGUAUUCACAUAAGCCCCUCGGGCAAUAUUACAUUAAUAGUUCUCAGCUUAGAACGUCAAUAAAAUAUUGUUUAAGUUUUCAAAUCUUAGUAGAAUGACUGAAUUUGCAAAAUAAUAUUUAAAACUUAGGACUGAGAUCAAACAAUAUGUCAAAUAAUGUAGAAAUGGUGAUAACAUUCCCUGAAGGAUUCAAAUAAUCGGCACGAAGCCCAAAUAUAACAAUUAAAUCCAAGUAAGGAUGAUCUCAAAUAAGUUCUAAUCGAAUACACGGUAAAAACAUCACUCGGGACGGACAAAGUCACAAUCCCCAAUAGUAAACGAUCCUGCACUCGUUAUACAGGGUGUGUCUCACCUCAAUAUAGCGUUACGAUGUAAAAUUUCGGGGUUUCAAACUCUGAGGACAUCAUUUACAUCCAUUACUCCCCUCAAGCAGGCCAAAAUCUAUCUCGCUAUGCCCUUGCCUCUCGAAUCGACCUCCUCGCGCGUCGAAUAUGACCGAAACCACAACGAACCUAUCACAAUAUGCCACGGGAACAAAACCCAAUCAAAAUAAUCGAAAAAUAUCAAGAAAUCCCGAAAUUGACAAAUCCAGGCCCACUUCUCGAAACUCAGAAAUUUUUACAUCAACGGGGCUCCUUAUCUAACCACGAGUCUAUACAUAUCAAAAACUCCAAAAUCUGAGCUCAAAUGCUCCCUCAAAUCCUAAUUUCUCAUUCAAAAAGUCAAGCCCUAAUUCCUCCCCUUUUAAUCAAAUUUUCAUGAAUUUAAAUGUUGAUUCUACAAUUAAAUGAUGUUUUUAGGUCAUAAGACUCACCUCCAAUCAGUCCUAGUUGAAACCCUCUUUAAUCCUCGUCCAAACGAUGUUGCUCCCAAACGCACACGCUAGUAUACGCGGUCGUCAAGUAAUAAAGUGAAUAAAAGUCAGAUGUCGAUCCCACAAGGACUUGUGAUUAACUAUUAACUAAAUUAGACAAUCUUAAUUAUCUAAACAAAAAUUAAACCUAAAAAUAUUCGAUUCUAACCUUAUUAAAUAAAUAAAUAUAAACAAUGAACUUUGAACACAGAAAGAGCAAAUUUUUAUGAUAUCAAUGUAAUGAAAACGAUCUAGGGUUAUGCGCUAUCUAACAUUUUAUUCAAUUGAAUUGACUAACUAAUUUGUCUAGUUUAUUAGUUGAUAGGGUUAAUAUUGCUCAUAAGAAUUUGUCGAGUUCUUACUCGCCUAUUCAAGCUAACCUAAUGCCUNNNNNNNNNNNNNNNNNNNNNNNNNNNNNNNNNNNNNNNNNNNNNNNNNNNCUCGCCUAUUCAAGCUAACCUAAUGCCUAUAUGUCUAUGGAGUUAGAAUCAACAAGAACACAUUUAUAAUUCCUGUAAAUCAACCAAGCAAGGCAAUUGGAUAUAUGUCUAUCCUAACCGCGAAUCUGUUCCCCGAUUCCCAGGUUCAAGAACUUGAUCUACUCAAUCCUAUAUGCAAUCUAGAAUUCCACUUUCGAGUUCAACUCUAGAUUCUUUGAUAGUAUUCAUUGGUGAUCACACAAUCAAAUAAAUAAGUGCAGGAUUGAAUAAAUAAACCAAUAUGAUAAACUAAGAAAUCAAAAUCAAUAUUCAAAUAACAAUAGUCAUGAAAGAACCAGAAACCUAGAACGUGAAGUUUAGCUCCACAUAGACAUGGUAACAAAAUAACAAAUCAUACAAAGAAACAUAAAAAUACUAAGUUGGUGGAAGAAAAGAUGAAGUCUGCCCUCCACGGCGGCUCUGUGCUCUUCCUUCGUCAAAAGUUACUCCCUAAAACGUCCAACUCCCUCAAAAUACCCUUUUUCAUGUAUAUAUACCAAGUAGGAUUGGGCCCAAAAAAUUAUACCUUCUCUAAUGUGAAAAGGACACUUUUCCCGGGUUGACUAGCGCUAGCUCGCGCAUCCUUCGUGCAUGUUCCCUGACAUUCUGCUCUAGCUUCUAGACUAGCGACUUCGCGCUAUUGACGCGCAUUUGUCAUCCAGUUGUGUUUCGCAUUUGGGAAAAUGUAAAACAUGAAAGUUGUAGCCCUUUGAGUUAGAUUUUCAACCAUAUAUUGUGGAGCUAAAUGAAUUUCAGAGAAAAAAGUUAUAUCUAUUUUACUAGACGGUGCGCAUUAUGCCCACUUGAUUAUUCGUUCGCUCUAACUAUCAUCCAUUGAUCCCCAAAAGCGAUCCCGGCUCAAUUCCUUGAGCUUUUACUCAAAUUUCAAAGCUCCAAAUCACUUGAAUUCAUUCCAUAACAUCUAUAUAGCUCGGAAUCACUCUUAACAUGCAUCAAACACACAAUCAGUGCAAAACACUAACAAUUAAAGUGCAAACUCAACUAAAGUGCAGUAAAUUAAAAGUGUAAUAAUCGACUAAAAUGUGUAAUUAUAGCAUAUCAUCACCAAUUAUAUUAUUUUGGAGAAACACAAUUAAUUACAAAUAAGGUAUUGUGUUGUAGUAAGUCUCAAAGAGUACGUAAUAAUAUCCUAUCAUCAAAAGCUCUCAAGCUUGUUAAAAAACGGUGGAAAUAAGCUUUGCUUCGCGGAGGAAAUGUUUAAUAAAACCCUUCUGCCCAGAUAAUUUUAACUCUAUGUGAAGGCGGUCACGUCCCACGUUCGCGAUGAACAAAAAUCCAUUCACCAAAAUUACCCCUUGCGAAUGAGGUGCCCAACCCACGAACGCGAAACUUCAGCUCACACACUUAUGCGAACACGUUCUUCCAAUCGCGAACGCGAAGGGCAACUGCCCUGGGCCCAAAUUUCUCAUACGCGUCCGUGACCUAGCCACUGCGAACGUGAAGCACAAUUCUCCAGCAUUCUACGACCACGAUCCCCUCUACGCGAACACGAAGAGUAACCAACCUGUCUUUCAAAUUUCCACUCAACGAACGCGAUACACCUAUGUGAUCGCGAAGGUAUAAGACCUGCAACACCUGAUCUGAAGUUUUCUGCAGUAUUUUCAAAGUUUAAAUCUUCCCGUUAGCCAUCCGAAAAUCACCUUGAGGCCCCCGGGACCUCAACCAAGAGCUUAAACACAUCCUAAAACAUCAUAAAAACUUGUUCCAAUCAAUUAAAACACAUCAAACAACACCAAAAUCACCAAUUCUCAACGAAUCCAAGCCUAUGUUCUUCAAAAUCUUCCGAAACUCGCAUUCAAUCAAAAAUUACAACCAAACCACCUCCGAAUAACCUGAAAUUUUGCACACAUCCCAAAUCACCUAAUGAAGCUACUUCAACUCUCGGAAUUCAAUUCCGACCCGCGGAUCAAAAUCUUGCCUACUAACCAAAAAUCGCCAAAACUAACUUCGUCAAAAUAAGCUAACUUAUACUCCAAACCUCCAAAACUACUUUCGAUCACGCUCCUAAGUCACAAAUCAUCCCCCGAAGCUAACCGAAUCACCGAAAACCACAUCCUAUCCCAUUAACUUAUAAGUCAACAUUCGGUUGACUUUUUCAAACCAACCCUUCUGUAACUAAGUAUCUCAUUUCCUACCAAAACCAAUCCAAAUUAACUCAAACACACCAACUACCGAUUACGAAACAUGAAGAAGAAUAAAAUGGGGGAAAUGGGGCGGUAACUCAUGAGAAGACGGUCCAGGCCAUCACACCAAUAGUGCACCACCCCACGCUCGUCAUCAACUAUAUGUCUCACCUUAAUAUAGCACUACGAUGUGCAAUCCAGGGUUUCAAACCCUCAGAACAUCAUUUACGAUCAUUGCCCUCCUCGAACCGGCUAAAUCUCUUGCUCACGAUGCCUUUUUCUCUUGAAUCGACCUCCACACACGUUGAAUCUAUCCAAAAUCAAAAUGAGGACUUCAAAAUAUACUAAGGGAACAAAGCCCAAGCGAAAAUAAUCAAUAAAGGGCACAAAUCCUGAAAUUACCAAAACCCAACCCUUGGGCCCACAUCUCGAAAUUCAAUGAUUUUUACACCAAUAGAUUCCUUAUCUCCCUACGAGUUAAUACAAAUUAAAAAUUCAAAAAUCCGGCCUCAAAUGGUCCAUAAAAUCCUCAAUCGUAUGUAUCCAAUUCUAAGCCCUAGUUUCCCAAAAUUCCACCCUUAGAUUCUGUAAUUUCUAGCUCUAAUCCGUGAAAUAAAAGCAUAGGAAUGAGUUUUAAGUCGAAAUCCCUUACCUCAAUGAAGUUUCUUGAAAUUGCUCUUUCAAAUCACCCAAAAAGCUCCCAAGCCGAAGUCAAAAAUGGUGAAAAAACUUCAAUUCGUGAAGGAGACAAUUUGUACCUUCUUCCUAGACCUUUUCGCAUCUAUGGCACAAUACCCACUUCUGUGGUACCGCAUUUGCGAUUAAUCCUCCGCAUCUAUGAAAAUCACUUAUCCAGCCUAAAUCGCAUCUGCGAACACACUUCCGCAUCUGCGGUCACCUUACUGUUUCUGCGGUCUCUGCUCACCUGACCCCUUUUUUGGCUUCUGCGAUAGAUCUACCACACGUGAGGCACUGCACCGGUGGUCCCCAAUCCGCAGGUGCGAAAAUAUCAGAAGCAGCAAAUUCAGCAGCUGCAAUAAAAAUCCAACUUCUCAUCAACCAUCUGAAAUUACCCCGAGGCCCCUGAAACAUCAACCAAAAGCACAAACAUAUCCUAAUACCUUAUUCAAACUUGUUCCAAUUACCAAAACACCUCAAACAACAUCAUAUCACCCAAAACACAUCAGAUUAAUGCCAAACUUUCUAAAAUCUUCCGAAUUUUGCUUUUGAUAAAAAAUCCAACCAAACCACGUCUGAAUGACCUGAAAUUUUACACACACAUCCCAAAUGACACAACAAAGCUACUGUAAAUCUCGGAAUUCCAUUCUGACCGCUAUAUCAAAAUCUCACCUACCAACCAGAAAUCGCCAAAAUAUCAACUUCGCUAAUUCAAGCCUAAAACUACUCCAAACCUCCAAAACCCAUUCCGAUCACACUCCUAAAUCCCAAACCACCUCUGAAGCUAACCGAACCACGAAACCUCACAUCUGAGCCCUAUAACACAUAAGUCAACAUUCAGUUGACUUUUCUAACUUAAACUUUCUUAAAAGAGAAUAAGUGUCCCAAACCUUACCAAAAUAAUUUCUUAUUCAAUCUGAUCAACAUGAUACCACAAAAUACGAAAGCAUAAAUAAGCAGAAAUGGGGGAAACAGAGUGGUAACUCAUGAGGCGACUGGCCGAGUUGUCACAUUUAGCUGCUUCAAGUUCGCACCAUUUCACCAAUGAAUUUUUUUCCAACAUAUGAUAUUCAAGGAUAAGUCUUAAACCUUAUAAUAAGAAUAAUGAACAUCGUAGAUUGUUUUAGGUGCGAUUAAAUAAAUCAUUGUGAUUAUGGGUACGGUUCCCGUGUCAUGGUCACGAUACAUAAAUCAUUGUGAUUAUGUGUAAUGUAUGUAGUUUGGAUUCGAACAAUUUCAAGCGAUUCUAAAAAAGACAAAGGUCAUGGGUAUGCAGUCGUCGACGCCCCCUUUUUCCCUAAAAGGCGAAAUCGGGUUUACAAUAUUAUAGACAAAACAACUCUUAUUCCCUUUUGAGGAAUCGAGUUAUGGAGUCUUAAGAGUCACCACCUAAUGGUUAUUGUGCAUUAGGACACUUUUAAGAUAAGAAGAAGAAGAUUUUGAAGGAUAAACAGAGUUCGGGUAAGGGCUUGAGAUUAUAUCGAGGGGAAGGUGUUAGGCACCCCUCAAGAUCCACUAGAGUGGUUCCCGACCGUGCUUUUAUGGUGACUUUAAGAAGAGUAGAAGGAAACAAAUAAGGUUUGCACAUAGUAGCUACCAAAUAAGUUGAAAGUUUUGAAAGAGGGAGAAGGCAUAAGCAAUUUUGGAAAAAAAGAAGAUUAAUUGAAGAAAAUAUUAAUUUUAAGAAACCAUUAUACAAAUAAAGAAAAGGAAAGGGUUUCCUAGGUUUAAAUACAGUAUGGAUCACAUCGGUGCAAUACCCCACAGACACUCCUCAGAAGAAGGGUCGCCUAUGAUAUUAGCGCACUGGUCAUCAUCUUUAUAUUCUACCCUUCCCACCCCGUUAAGGUAUUAAACACGAUAGUCUUGUCUUACUUAUUGCAUGCUAGUACCCAUCCCAAUCUAUCAGUCCCGGAGUUUAGAACUUCUAAUCUUAAAGGGGAAAGGGAGUAUAGGCAUAUAUGGAGUUUAAAAGGAAAAAAUACUAAGGCAAAAAACAAAACAAGUAGCAGAUAUUGAGGAAUGUACAAACACAUAAGAAGCUCACAUAAACCCCGUAAACCACAUAGAAUCAAGUUUAGCAUGCCUUGCAUAUACUGAUUUGGUCUUCAAAUUGUAAUUAAACGGUGAACAGACUAGUUCAACACAUAGAGUUAGAUGAAAAGUCUGCAUUAGGCAACCCAGAUCCAAUUGUUAGGAAUUGAGGAAUUUUAAAAAGGUUACUGAUUAAAGACCUAAUGCAGAGAGUUUAAAUCAACAGAAUUGUUUAACUAAAAAUACAGCAGGAGUAUAAAGCAGUGUUUUCGAAAGCGAGACGUUUAAAAUAAAUAGACUGUUAAAGAUUGCUUUGAUUAAGAGACAGGAGAAAAGAGUUGAAAGAGUGCAAAUACGUCAAAAAAUAGAAUUGAAACUCUGUUUUGGAAGACAGCUUCGAAAAAUGGAGGAGAAAUUCAGUCAAAAGGUUUAAAGAGAUUAUUAGAAGAAAAAUACAAGUUUGAAAGGGAUUGUAAGCGGAUUUAUAAGAGUUUUGGAAAACGAACAAAUUCAAACAAAUUGUACUGAAAAUUCUGAAACUAGAUGGUAAAUCAAUUAGACUCACUAGGCGAGUUUGGAUUCCUAUAGGCAUGAUUUCUACAUUCUGGGUUUUAAAGAAUCAUUACUGUUAUUAAAUUGGUUACGAAAUGAGUAUUUGAUUAGCAUACAGUUUGCGUAGAGUUUAUGCAUUUCUAUAGGCAUGACUUCUAUAUGCAGUUAGUUGUUUGAUUAUUCGAUCCUAUAGACAGGAUAUCUACUGAUGGCUGAACAAUAAAUCCUAUAAACAUGAUUUCUAAAUGAUUGAGUAAAAAAUGCAAAGGCCUGUAGGCAUGAUCUCUAGGUGAUUAAGUAACAAACAUUGGUCCUAUAGGCAUGGUAUCUACUCUUUUAUCAUAUGCAGACAACUAUAAAUCCCCUCGCAUACCCUUUUACUAAUAUCCCUGCGUUCCUUUUUACAAGAUUAUUACAGAACCAAAGAAAGAAAGUAAACAACAAAGUACAUCAUAGCCUAUAGCUAGAUCCAAGCGGCCUAAUUCAAUCUUAAUAUCCAAUAACAUGUGGUUCACCAAAUUCGGAUUCCAGAUUCCAAGGCCUUCUCUUAUUCAGAGUGUUUCAAAGUUCCAAGAAGCUUCAAGAGUCCCAAGCAAUGCUUACACUCUAAAUAAAAGUCAUAACAGAAUAGUGCAAGUGUGGAAUUACCAGCCCUUAGGCAUCCAAGUUAAGAGGAAACUCCAAGGUCCCAAAGCAUGGCUUAAUAAAUGGGGGGGGGNNNNNNNNNNNNNNNNNNNNNNNNNNNNNNNNNNNNNNNNNNNNNNNNNNNNNNNNNNNNNNNNNNNNNNNNNNNNNNNNNNNNNNNNNNNNNNNNNNNNNNNNNNNNNNNNNNNNNNNNNNNNUCCAAGGUCCCAAAGCAUGGCUUAUAAAUGGGGGGGGGGGGGUAGAACUUAGGAAACUAGGAAGGAGUGCAAAGUGAGGGAGGAACCAUAGCAGAGGAUGGUCAUACCCAGCCAUGGCAUAGGCUGGCACACCCCUGACCCCCUGCUUAGGUCAAACAAAUAGGAGCAGACUCUUGGGAGUCAAACUUAGGGUCUGAAUGGUGAUUAGGACACUACCAGACCCAAGUUAAAGCUCAACACAUAAAGGGGAGAAGGAAUGGGAAAGCAUUUGAGUAGAGAGUUAGGAGAUUCUUAUUCUGGAUCAUGGACAGUAAUUGAAGAUGUGGCCACGGUGCAGAACAGUACUAGCAUGCAAAAGGGAACAGAGGGAAGGGAUUUCCAUACAAUACACUGACAUUAAAGAAAAUAUAAGAAAGCAUAUUGUUUCUGGAUCAUGGACAACAAUAUAAGAUGUUGCCAUGGCUCAGAACAGUACUAGCAUGCAAAAGGGAAUAGGGGGGAGGGAUUUGCAUGGAAACAUAUUAAAGAGAGAUAGGAGAGCAUAACAGACUGAAGAUGCAAAACAUAAAGAAAAGGCAUAAAAAACUCGAAUGUAGUUUCAUAGUGCAGGAAACAUAAAUAAACACAUAGUGAAAGAGGUAUAGAAGAGGAGAAGUAAACACAUAAUAAGGGGUGUUAUUUAAACUAGAAAUACAUACCUGUUGCAAUUCUAGUACAACAGAGAAACAACAACAAAUAGACAGCCAAAAAGAAUUAACAAGAGAAACUCAAACUUCAGCAAGCACCUGGGAGUUCAGAGAAACUCCAGAAAUAUUCAGACAGUAUGAGAGAAAGGAGCAGAGUGCUCAGUGGGGAGUAUAGAAUGUAGUAGUAGUGGGUAGUAGUAGAGAAUAGUAGUAGAGAAAGUAGUAGUAGAGAGAGUAGUAGAUAAGGUAAUAAUAGAGCAAGUAGUAACAGUUUUCAAAGACAGAGAUGUUUGUGUAUCGAAUGUGUGUAAUUCUUCUAAAGUGUGUUUGAAAGUGCAAGAGAGCAGUGCCUUUAUAGUGCAAAAAUGAGCAAACAAAAGGCAAGGAAAUAAUUCACAAUCAAUCACAGAAGGAUCCUCUUAAGGUCAGGGGAUCCCAUUUCAAACGGGCAUGAACUAAUUAAGGAAAAAGAAUAAUAAAAACCUUUUCAGAGUAGCAUAAUGGGUAAGUUCAUAUAGUCUAUUUAAUGUAAGAAGUCUAUGAUACAUGAUUUUGAGAGAAUAAGGAAAAUACAGUAAUCAAACAGCCAAAAAUUUCAAAGUCUUUGAAUGAACUUAGUCAGGAAAAAGGGAAAGAGGCUAAAUAGUAAAAAUCAGUAACAAAAUCAAUCGAGCCUUAGUAAAAGGAGAUUGAAAUCAAUCACGAGUUAACAGAAUCAAUUCAAAAGAAAAACCCUUGCAUAUAAAGCAUACCAGUAUCAAAAAAAGAGAGGACAUGCAUGAGAGGUUUCAAAGCAUAAGCAGGAAAUUCCAAAUUGGUUGUAAAAUCUGCAUGAGUUCGAGAGCCCAGGGUCUUUAGAGUAGAACCCUAGAGCCACAACUCGCAAAACCCAAACCCUAGGGUUUCAAUCCGAGUAGGAUAAAGAAGAGAGAAGGCAAUCCCUCACAAUAAGCGCAGCAAAUCAAAAGCAGUAGAGUGACAAAAUUGUAAAGAACAAGUUUAAGAGAAAGAUCAGAACUCAAGUAGGUUCAGAAGAGAGGAGAGAUGUCAUGGAAUUUAGGAAGCAGUAAAAGAAACAAGUUUAGAACCCAAACGAAUCCAGUAAAGGCAAACAAUCUCAGUAGGAGAAACAAUACAAUGACCUGCAAGAUAAACAUGUAAAUCAUACUCAUAGAAAAAUCAGUAGAAGCAGUAACACAACAAAGGUAGAAAAACAUGCGUAUUAGCGGCGAAACAUAAGACAAACGUAAAUACGUAAGACAUGGCAUGAACACACAGAUUCACAUAAAGAAAAGAAGAAGAAGAAGAAGAAGAAGAAGAAGAAGAAGAAGAAGAAGAAGAAUCGCUUUUAAGAUUUUUGAAAACCCUAAAUUGGACAGACUAAUUUUAAGAAAGAAAAUUGGGGGAAAACAUCAAAACCUCUAGUAGAACAUAGAUCAGUUACAGAUCUAAGAAAACAAGGGAAGAAAGAACCUCCAAUAAGCAUUUGGGGUUUCUCAUAAAACCUAGGAACAAGAAGGUCUGGAACGAUCUGGUCUUUGAAAAGGUCUGGGCCAUGGCAAGGCCUUUCAAAGCUCGAACAUGAAGGAACGGAGUCGUAGAAGCCAAAAGAACUCAUAUCGAUGGAGGACCUGAACAGAUCUGUUGAAGAUCGAAUCUCGAAGAACCUUGAAUAAUCAUGGUUUGGGAGUGAAUGGAAGAGAGCACAUGCCAUCCAUGGCCUUGGGAAGCCAUGGAUGCCGGUGGAUUUCGUCGGAGAAGAUGGCAGGCGGCUAAGGUUCCGAGUGGUCUUCAGAGAGGUUUUGAGAGACGAGGGAAUUCGGGGCGGCCGUUUGUGAAUAAUGAAUUAGGGUUAGGAGUGUGGGUAAAAUUAGAAAGGAAAAAAGAUACGAGGGCCGUUGAUUGCCAGGAUUUAAAAUGAGAAGCGGACGGGUUAGAUCAAACGGAUUUGGGGCGGCUUGAAAUUAAAAAUUGGGUCAUUUAAUUGGGCUUUGGAUUGGAUGUAAUUGAGGGUGAAUUUUGGAAUAGAAUUGAAAUAAAAGAGGCAGCUUUUAAAUAGCCAUUUUUUUCUUUUUUUAAUUAAUAAAAAUAGUUAAAAAUAAUUUAAAAAAUAUUGCAAGCAGUGAACUAGAUAAUAUUAUGUAAACAUUAAUCUAAAAAUAUUAGAAAUAAUUUUAUUAUUAUAAAACGCGGUUAAUUGUAAAAUAGGUUAUAAUUGCAAUUUAUGCAAUUAAACUUUAGAAAUUCCGAAUAAAUUUGUAAAAAUGUGAAAAAAUAUAGUAAUUAUAUCUUGUUGUAAACACGAGAGUGAAAUACAUUAUUUACGAAAAAUGAUAAUUCGAAAAUAAUUUUGGACCAUGUAUUUGUUAAAAUAACCAGUAAAAUUAAUUUUGAAGAUAUUAAAUUGGGUAUCAGCAACAGUUUGAUUCUAUCGAUUUUAGUGCAGCUAUAGUAAUGUUAUAAGGGAGUUAACUCAAUCAUGAAUGUACAAAAAAGAGGAGGAACCAAUGUCAAUAUAUACAACAAUAAAUUUUGUGGGGAUAAUAUUAUUUUAGGAUGAAGCUACUUAGACAUCAACUGAAUUAAAUGAUACCGUACACGAAACUACUUAUCUAAUAUUUUAUUGCUUAUCUUAUAUCUAGUUGUUUGAAAGAAGUACUCGUGUUUUAAUGUUUUUUAUUAAUACUAAAAAUGUCUAUUUUAAAUUAGAUAGAAAUGGGGAGCAUGAGUUUUUCUCUUAAAGCUCAGGUAUGGGGACUAUGGCUUUUUAGUUUGUUGUUGAUAUUUAUACUCUCACACUCUUUAAACUAAUUGACUGAGCAGUUGUUGCAGUCGAUAUAUACGUGCAUGUAAAUUAGAAUAAAAUAGAUUCGAACAGAGUGAAUAUAUAAAGAAACAUAAUUACGGAUUUCCUACUUACCACAAAGUAAAGCGAUAACCAAAGUGAAAGGUUAGUUAAUUUAAUUAAAAAUUACCUUUCACGACCCUAAUUCACCAAUUGUAAACACGUCAUAACGACACCUAAUUACGAUGACUUGGUAAGCCUAACCGUGCGGAAGUAACAUUUAAUACGAAAAUAUUAAAUCAAAAGUUAAAUAACUUUAAGAAAUGUAUACAUCUUGCCGCUUGGCACAUACACUUCAACACUUCAAAUUCUGAAACAGAAAUCCCAAAGCCCGGAACCUCACGGGCAACACAAGCUAGAUAAAAAUACAUGAUACGGCUCUAUCUCCGGAAUGACUACACAACCGAAAAGAAGGAAAAGUCAAUACUACAUGUGGAACAAGAUAGAGGCUCUUGGUCUGCGGACGUGACAUAUAUACGCUCAUGGAUCACUGAUAGUGCGCCUGACCUGAGGUACCUGGAUCCGCACAUGAAAAACAUGCGCAGAAAAGGCAUGAGUACACCACAGGGUACUCAGUAAGUGCCAAGUCUAACAUCGGUCGGGUAGUGGCGAGGAAGGUGAGGGCCCUACUGAGACAAAUAUAAUAAUAAGGCUGACAACAAUGUGAAAUAAGCAGAACUAAUGAUAUACAAUUACAAAUUAAAUCGGAUUGCACAAACAACAAUUAAUACAUAGAAAAUAAGAUAACACAAAGUAAACAGCUCAAUUCCAGUACCAAUAAUGAAGGAUCUCUCAUGAUACCAUCCUGUAGUCCAUUUUAUCAAUCUGUACGAGGAUCUCCAGGGAUACCGUCCUGUAUUCCACCGUAUGAAUAUAUUUGAAGGAUCUCCAAUACCGUCCUGUAGUCCAUUUUAUCAAUCUAUACGAGGAUCUCCUCGGAUACCGUCCCGUAGUCCAUCUUAUGAAUAUAUCUGAAGGAUCUCCCAGGAUACUGUCCUGUAGUCCAAUUUUAUCAAUCUGUAUGAGGAUCUCCCGGGAUACCGUCCCGUAGUCCACCGUAUAAUAUAUCUGAAGGAUCUUCCAGGAUUCCAUCAUGUAGUCCAACCAUUAAUGUGCAAGGGGAUCUACCGGGAAUCUAACCCGUAGUCCCAAAGUAAACAAAUAAGGGGGAGCUACCGGAAUCCCACAUCCGUAGUCCCAAUGUAAAUGCGCAAACAAAAUCAGAGAAAUAUUCAGAAAGUGAAGCACAACAAUACAGGGCAACUAUUAAAUUCAGGCCAUACAUGUUUCACAUAAUUACAAUCAAGGCAAAUUAAUCAAAUAGGAAAUUUGGAUCAAUUUAACAUGCUUUUCUAUACUAGUACAAGCUAUAAUAGCAAGUAGAAUAAAACAUAUACGAAAGGAACUCUGCUCGAGUAAUUUAAGUAAAAUUCGUGUUUUCAACAAUUAUCUCAAGUAAACGCCCCUCACCUCACGUACAAGGCAUUAAAUUACCAAAUAACAUAUCUUAAGGGACAAAGUCCCACACACAAGGUUAGACAAGUCACUUACCUCGAACAAGUGCAACUCAACCCGAAACUACGCUUUUUCCACGAAUAUUCGAUUCCAAAUGGCUCAAAUAAAUUCAAUUCAAUUGCAUAUUAUAAAUAAUAAUUCAACUAAUUUAUUCUACAAUUAAAUUAUAAGCUAAUACGCGAAAUUAUGUAAAAUAACCAAAAUGCCCCUUGGGACCCACGUCUCGGAACCAGGUAAAUUUUACAUUUCCAUGAAUCACGUACUCUCACGAAUCUAACCAUACCAAAUUUAUAAAAUUUCCAUAUCAUUUCAACCCUCAAAUCAGUGAUUCUAUCCAAGAGGGUUUUCUACCAUUUUCAAUAAAAUUCUCAUAUUAAAAACCAAAAACUUGUAAUAGAUUCGAGUUAUACAACCAAAAUUGAGUUAAGAAUGCUUACACUAUUGUUCUCUAAGAAAAUCUAUCCACAAAUCGCCCGAUCCGAGCUCCAAAUCGUCAAAAAUGGGAAAUGGGAACGAAGUCCCAUUUCCAGAAUUAACAUUCUAUCCAGGCUUUUUCUUCUUCGCGAACGCGAAUGUAAUGACCCUACCGGUCAUUUUUAGAAUUAACACCACGUUCCCUUAUUAAUUUCUUCCUCUAAGUUCAUAUCCACUAUUUUGGUUUUCCGGGACGUUCGGUGUUGGAAUUCAGAGUGUUUUGGGACACUUAGUCUCUAAAUGAGAGCUUAAGUGUUGAAAAAAGGUAUGUAAUCGAAACAGUGUGAAGACGACCCCAGAAUGAAAAUCCGAUGGUUUCUUUAUCUCCGUUAGGUGAUCGGGGUUGGGAGCGUGUUCGGAAUGUAUUUUCGAAGUCUGCAGCUCAUUUAGGCUAGAAAUGUCGAAAGCUAGUAUUUUGGCGAUUUCCGGUUGAUAGGUGAAAUUUUGAUUCGAAGGUCGGAAUGGAUCUCCGGAAGUUACUGUAGCACCUUCAUAUCAUUUGGGAUAUAUGUGCAAAAUAUUUAGUCAUUGAGACAUGUUUAGGUUGGUUUUUUUAUUAAAUGCGAGUUUCGGACGUUUUGGUUGAACUUAGGCUUGAAUCAGUUGAGGAUUGGUGAUUUAUGUGUUUUUGGAUGUGUUUUAUGAUUGGAACAAGUUCAUAUGAUAUUUUAUGAUGGGUUUGCACUUUUGGUUGAGGUUCUGGGGAUUUCGGGGUGAUUUCUGAUGGCUAACGAGAACUUUUGAAGUUGGAAAAUUUCAUAAUAGACGAAGUUGUAAAUGAGUGUGCAUAAGACGUCACUUUAAAUGAUCAUAUCUCCAUUUAUACAAGGAUUUGUUUGAUCGAAUACCUAUCAAAUUAAAUAUCUCUAAGACUAGUUUCCCACGCUUCAAUUCGUUCGUUAUUUGGAUAUUCCUACCCAAAAUUAUGAUCAAACUACCAAAGGCUGGAAAAUGUGAACCUGUGUCAAAUCUGCGACCGCAGAACCCAUCGCAGCUUGCACUCUGCGGUUGCAUUUUGACCGCAGAUUAGGAAAGUGUAGCCCAUUUUUGGGUGUCAAUUCUGAUGUGCAUUCUGCGGACCGCAUGUUCAUUCUGCGGUCCGUUGUGCUACAGCAGACCCGACUUCGGGGUGUUAGCUUCUCACUUUUUAUAACCCGACCCCAUUUCAAUAUAUAUGCUUUGGGGUUCAUUUUGGGGUGAUUUUCUCAGCAUUCUAGAGAGAGGUGAGAGUGUUUUAGAGAGAGAAUGGGGGAACUCACCAUUUAAAUCAUCCAAUCUUGAAUCAAUCUUCAAGAAUCGAAGAACCCAAUCACAAGUUCUUCAUCAAAGAGGUAAAGUUCUAUACCCUAGUCUUCAAUCUCGUUUUUGGGUGAUUGUUGAGGAAGAAUUCAUGUGAAAACUAGAGAUAAGUCACCUGUGGUCAUUGUUAGACAAUAAUAUGGGAUUAUCAUCAAAUAUCCUAACUGGAUUACUCAUUUUGGGGUGAAAUCAAAGCUUUGAGCCUAGGGAUUUGAAAGAAUUGAUUUGAUAUUUUGGAGGCCAAAUUGUUGUCGGAUUUUGGUAAAAUUUUGUAUGGUUAGAUUCGUGAGAGUGUGAGGGUUCUGAAAAUAUAAAUUUACCCAGUUCUGAGACGUGGGGCCCGAGAGGUGUUUUGGUCAUUUAACAUAAUUUCGCGUAUUAGCUUAGAAUUCAAGUAUAGAAUAAAUUACUUGAAUUAUUAUUUACAAUAUGCAAUUUAAUUGAUUAGAUUUGAGACAUUUGGAGUCGAAUACUCGUGACAAGGGCGUGGUUUUGGGUUGAUUUGCACAUGUUCAAGGUAAGUGACUUGUCUAACCUUGUGUGGGGGACUUUGUCCCUUAAGAUAUGAAAUUGGUAAUUGAAUGUCUUGUACAUGAGGUGACGAGCGCGUACUUGAGCUAAUUGUUGAAAAUUUGAAUUUUUCUUAAAAAAAUAGUUGAGCCGAGUUUCUUUCGUAUUUGUUUUAUCCUAUUUGCUAUUAUAGCCUAUGCUAGUAUAGAAAAGCAUGUUUAGUGGACUUACUUGCCUAUUUGCUUAAACUACCUUGUUUGCACUCUAUGAAGCAUAUUAGGCUAGAAUCUACUUUUGUUUUCCAUGAGUUUGGCAAUUAUUUGAUAUUUUGAGCUGUUGUUGUAUUGAUGUACUUCACUGCAGAUACUGAGUGAUCCCUCACACAUGAUGUAUUAUAAAUGGAGGAUACUAGGGGAUCCUCGGGAUACUUGGAGAUCCCUCAUAUAUAAAUGGAGGCUAGCAGGAGAUCCUCGGGAUACUUGAGAGAUCCCUCGUGUUAUGAAGAGGAUACCAGAGAGAUCCUCGGGAUACCAAGAGAUCCCUGAAUUUAUUAUCAGGAUACCAGGAGAUCCCCGAUGAUAAAUACCCGAUUGUGGUUUAUACCUUUAUUCAUUGUUUGUGUUUGUUCUCUGCUACUGUUUUACCUAUUAUCGUGCUACAUUAUCGAUGUGAUUAAUCUCGUAUUGUCUCCUCAUUAUCAUAUUGAUUAUUAUGUUACAUCUCAGUGAGCCCUAACCUUCCUCGCCACUACCCAAUUGAGGUUAGGCUUGACACUUACUGAACACCGUUGUGGUGUACUCACGGCUCUUCUUCGUAUGUUUUUCAUGUGUAGACCCAGAUACUUACGGCCAGAUGCACUAUUAGUGAUCCAGGCUACAUCUACCAUAGACAUUGAGGUAUAUCUGCCACGUCCGCAGACUAGAAGUAUCCAUCUUAUUCCAAUUGUAGCAAUUGACUUUCCUUUUCUUUUAGUUGUGUAGACAUUCCGGAGUUAGAGCAGUGUAUUACAUUUCUAUUAGCUUGUGGUUUCCAUGAGAUUCCGG
rnacentral:lncRNA from 1 species